rnacentral:snoRNA from 1 species
AAAGCAGGGGUUGUGUGUAUCGGUGUUGUGCCUUUGAAUGCACUUAUUGCCGAAAGAGUCCCCUGCAACAUUGAGUUGGGGAAAAUGGGCAGUUGUGUAUUGUCCUUCUGUUGAUACUUCAACAAUCAUUUUCCCCAUAUCU